AAUGGCCGCAGUAUUUUGACUGUGCAAAGGUAGCAUAAUCAUUAGUUUCUUAAUUAGGAACUGGAAUGAAAGGUUGGACGAGAAAAUAACUGUCUCUUUAUAAAUUUUUUAGAAUUUUAUUUUUAAGUUAAAAAGCUUAAAUUUAUUUAAAAGACGAGAAGACCCUAUAGAGUUUUAUAUAAUUUAUAUUAAUAAUUAAAAUUGAAUUAAUUUAAUUUUAGAAUAAAUUAUAUUUGAUUGGGGUGAUUGAAAAAUUUUAUAAACUUUUUUUAUUAUAAUAACAUUUAUUUAUGAAUUAUUGAUCCAUUUUUUAUGAUUAAAAGAUUAAAUUACCUUAGGGAUAACAGCGUAAUUUCUUUUUAGAGUUCAAAUCGAUAAAGAAGUUUGCGACCUCGAUGUUGGAUUAAAAUUAAAUUUUGGUGUAGUAGCUAGAAUAAUUAGGUCUGUUCGACCUUUAAAAUUUUACAUGAUCUGAGUUUAAACCGGUGUGAGCCAGGUUGGUUUCUAUCUUUAAUAUUAUAAAAAUAUUUUAGUACGAAAGGACCAAAUAUUUAUAAUAUUUAUUUAUUUUUGAAUAUUAUU
rnacentral:rRNA from 1 species